rnacentral:rRNA from 1 species
GACAGCCAGGAUGUUGGCUUAGAAGCAGCCAUCAUUUAAAGAAAGCGUAAUAGCUCACUGGUCGAGUCGGCCUGCGCGGAAGAUGUAACGGGGCUAAACCAUGCACCGAAGCUGCGGCAGCGACGCUUAUGCGUUGUUGGGUAGGGGAGCGUUCUGUAAGCCUGCGAAGGUGGCCUGUGAGGGUUGCUGGAGGUAUCAGAAGUGCGAAUGCUGACAUAA